AAUAUAAAAGUAAUUUAUCACAUGUCGUUUUGACUUUUCAUUACCCCAAAAUUCAAAAUUCGAAAUGGAUCCCGACACUAUAAAGUCUAUAUUUUUGUUUAUGUGCUUCAUGUUCAUAACAAUUAUAGUAAGAGUUCAAUCUCAUUAUUUUAAUAUGGUCCAUAUGCAUUACUAUUUGUCGGAGAACAUUAUCUACACCCCCAGCACGUUGCAAGAAAAUCGAAAUCCUCAAACCAAUCCAUUAAUAGACAGCCUUGCCAAAAAAGCGAUUUUUGAACAAAUAAAAGAUGUCUUGGAAAUGGGUAAAUAUAACCAACUACAGCAAAUGAAAAAGAGAAUAUAUAAUUUAUCGGGGACUUCAACAUCGAGUUUAAACACUUUCCUCGAAAAUGAACGUUGAGCAUUUCACUGGAAUAUUUAUCAAAAGCAUCGCUGGUAUAUGAACAUCUAAUGAAUCCUACAUUAACAAAAGGUUCUGUGAUAGUGUUAUGAAAGCAUUUUGACUUAAACAGUUGAUCUAUGUAUUUUAAGAAAAUUGGGGUACAAAGUAUUUGAAAAGUUUCAGAAUUACCAGCUACACUUACGAAAAUAUAAUAACGAGAACAGAGAAGUGAUAUUCAAGAAAUGAAUUAAUUGAAACCUAUAUAGAUGAUCAGCAGUCCACUAUAUUCGCUUUGCAAUUCAACUUUAAUAGACUUAUACUUUAGAAGAAUAUUGUGAAUUUUACUAAUACCAGCUGAAAAUAAGGUUACCGAAAGUGGAUCUAUAUUUUGAGAAAUUUACCAAACCACAAAAUAAAAAAACGAUUGAAACUAACAUUUGGAUUAACAAACAUUUGACAAUAAAUUAUGUAAAUAAAA